rnacentral:rRNA from 1 species
GGGUGAAAAGCNUGGGGUGCCCCGCGAGGGGAGCCCUAGCACAGGUGCUGCAUGGCCGUCGUCAGCUCGUGUCGUGAGAUGUUGGGUUAAGUCCCGCAACGAGCGCAACCCCUGCCGUUAGUUGCCAGCGGGUUGAGCCGGGCACUCUAACGGGACUGCCUGCGAAAGCAGGAGGAAGGCGGGGACGACGUCUGGUCAUCAUGGCCCUUACGGCCUGGGCGACACACGUGCUACAAUGCCCACUACAAAGCGAGGCGACCUGGCAACAGGGAGCGAAUCGCAAAAAGGUGGGCGUAGUUCGGAUUGGGGUCUGCAACCCGACCCCAUGAAGCCGGAAUCGCUAGUAAUCGCGGAUCAGCCAUGCCGCGGUGAAUACGUUCCCGGGCCUUGUACACACCGCCCGUCACGCCAUGGGAGCGGGUUCUACCCGAAGUCGCC